CAGAAGAAAAGAGAAGAGGCAGAGCAGAAGAGGCUUGCAGCUGAAAUUGAGCAAAGGAAGAACCAAAGGAUCCUCCAGGAAAUAGAGCAGCGAGAACUUGAAGAAGCACAGGCUUUGCUUGAGGAUGUUGACAAGCGAAGUAAACGGAAGGGGGGAAAGAAGCCAAUUUUAGAAGGAGAGAAAGUGACAAAGCAAACUAUAAUGGAAAGGGCUUUGAGUGAGCAGCUCAGAGAGAGGCAGGAAAUGGAGAAGAAAUUACAAAAAUUAGCUAAAACAAUGGAUUAUUUGGAAAGAGCAAAGAGAGAAGAAGCAGCUCCAUUGAUUGAGGCUGCUUUCCAACGACGAUUGGUAGAAGAGAAGGCCCUUAAUGAACGUGAGCAGCAGCUAGAGAUUGAAGUAAGCAGGCAGCGCCAUGAUGGGGACCUCAGGGAGAAGAAUAGGUUGUCUCGGAUGCUGGACAACAAGAUGAUAUUCCAGGUAAGAGUGAUCAGCCGGCGACAAACUGAGUUUGACCGGCUUAGAGCAGAGAGGGAAGAAAGAAUCAAUC
rnacentral:misc_RNA from 1 species